AUACGGAGGGUGCAAGCGUUGUUCGGAAUCACGGGGCGUAAAGGGCGCGCAGGCGGUCCUGCAAGUCAGAUGUGAAAGCCCACGGCUCAACCGUGGAAGUGCAUUUGAAACUGCAGGACUUGAGUAUCAGAGGGGAAAGUGGAAUUCCCGGUGUAGAGGUGAAAUUCGUAGAUAUCGGGAGGAAUACCGGUGGCGAAGGCGACUUUCUGGCUGAAUACUGACGCUGAGGCGCGAAAGCGUGGGGAGCAAACAGGAUUAGAAACCCCAGUAGUCC
rnacentral:rRNA from 1 species